rnacentral:rRNA from 1 species
GCUCAGUAACACGUGGAUAACCUGCCCUUGGGACCUGCAUAACCCCGGGAAACUGGGGAUAAUUCGGGAUAACGCAUAUGUGCUGGAAUGCUUUAUGCGUAAAAAGGAUUCGUCCGCCCAAGGAUGGGUCUGCGGCCUAUCAGGUAGUAGUGGGUGUAAUGUACCUACUAGCCGACAACGGGUACGGGUUGUGAGAGCAAGAGCCCGGAGAUGGAUUCUGAGACAUGAAUCCAGGCCCUACGGGGCGCAGCAGGCGCGAAAACCUUACAAUGCGGGAAACCGUGAUAAGGGGACACCGAGUGUCAGCAUCAUAUGCUGGCUGUCCAGGUGUGUAAAAUACACCUGUUAGCAAGGGCCGGGCAAGACCGGUGCCAGCCGCCGCGGUAACACCGGCGGCCCGAGUGGUGAUCGUGAUUAUUGGGUCUAAAGGGUCCGUAGCCGGUUUGGUCAGUCCUCCGGGAAAUCUGAUAGCUCAACUAUUAGGCUAUCGGGGGAUACUACCAGACUUGGAACCGGGAGAGGUAAGAGGUACUACAGGGGUAGGAGUGAAAUCUUGUAAUCCCUGUGGGACCACCUGUGGCGAAGGCGUCUUACCAGAACGGGUUCGACGGUGAGGGACGAAAGCUGGGGGCACGAACCGGAUUAGAUACCCGGGUAGUCCCAGCCGUAAACGAUGCUCGCUAGGUGUCAGGCAUGGCACGACCGUGUCUGGUGCCGCAGGGAAGCCAUGAAGCGAGCCACCUGGGAAGUACGGCCGCAAGGCUGAAACUUAAAGGAAUUGGCGGGGGAGCACAAUCACU